UACGUAGGGGGCAAGCGUUGUCCGGAUUCAUUGGGCGUAAAGAGCGCGUAGGCGGCCAGGUAGGUCGGUUGUGAAAACUGGAGGCUCAACCUUCAGAGGUCGACCGAAACCAUCUGGCUAGAGUCCGGGAGAGGAGAGUGGAAUUCCUGGUGUAGCGGUGAAAUGCGCAGAUAUCAGGAAGAACACCCGUGGCGAAAGCGGCUCUCUGGAACGGUACUGACGCUGAGACGCGAAAGCGUGGGGAGCAAACAGG
rnacentral:rRNA from 1 species